GUCCACGCCCUAAACGAUGUCAACUAGUUGUUCGGUGAGGAGACUCAUUGAGUAACGCAGCUAACGCGUGAAGUUGACCGCCUGGGGAGUACGGCCGCAAGGUUAAAACUCAAAGGAAUUGACGGGGACACGCACAAGCGGUGGAUGAUGUGGAUUAAUUCGAUGCAACGCGAAAAACCUUACCUACCCUUGACAUGUCAGGAAUCCUUGAGAGAUUGAGGAGUGCCCGAAAGGGAACCUGAACACAGGUGCUGCAUGGCUGUCGU
rnacentral:rRNA from 1 species